GAUGAACGCUGGCGGCGUGCCUAAUACAUGCAAGUCGAGCGGACAGACGCGGAACUUGCUCCUCUGACGUUAGCGGCGGACGGGUGAGUAACACGUCGAUACCAUCCUUAUCAGAAUGGGAUAACUUCCGGAAAACGGAGCUAAUACCGCGUAAUAUAUUGAGACGCUCGGAUAAAUAGUGUAAGACGGUUUUGCUGUCCGUGAUAGAUGGAACCGCGACGAAUUAUCUAGUUGGUAAGGUAACGGCGUACCAAGGCAACGAUGCGUAGCCGACCUGAGAGGGUGGUCGUCCACCCCGCAACAGAGACAAGGCCCAGACCACUACGGCGGGCAGCAGCAGGGAAUCUUCCGGAAUUGUCGAAAGCCUGACGGAGCAGCGCCGCGGGAGUGAUGAAGGUCUUCGGAUCGUUAAACCCUGCUUUUACGUGAGAAUAAAGCUUUAAGUAACUAUGCACGUCUUGACGGUAGCUAAUCAGAAAGCCCCGGCUAACUACGUG
rnacentral:rRNA from 1 species